ensembl:lncRNA
ACUUCCCUUCCUGAAUUAAUGAUUAAUCUUCCUGUCCAAAAUUUUAUUCUCUUUCUUGUCUUCCCUGACCUCAGUUCUAUGCUGCUGCUGCUGCUAAGUCGCUUCAGUCGUGUCUGACUCUGCAACCCCAUGGACUGCAGCCUACUGAGCUCCCCCGUCCCUGGGAUUCUCCAGGCAAGAACACUGGAGUAGACUCUUAUCAUCAACAUAUGAACUUGUUGCUUUCUAACUGUGGUGUUGGAGAAGACUCUUGAGAGAGUCCCUUGGACAGCAAGGAGAUCAAAACAGUCAAUUCUCAUAGAAAUCAACCCUGAAUAUUCAUUGGAAGGACUGAUGCUCAAGCUGAAGCUCCAAUACUUUGGCCACCUGAUGCGAAGAGCUGACUCACUGGAAAAGACCCUGAUGCUGGGAAAGAUUUAGGCCAAGAGGAGAAGAGGAUGAUAGAGGAUGAAUUGGUUGGAUGGCAUCAUCAACUAAAUGAACAUGAGUUUGAGCAAACUCAGGGAGAUAGUGAAGGACAGGGAAGCCUGGUGUGCUGCAGUUCAUGGGGUCACAGAGUUGGACAUGACUUAGCUACUGAACAACAACAAUGUACAAGCUCUGGUUGUUUCUCCAGGUUACCAUAUAAUCUAGUAAAUCCACUACUGGGUAUAUAUAUAUGAAAACUGUAACUUAAAAUAAUACAUGCAUCGCAAUGUUCAUAGCACCAUUAUUUAUAGUAGCCAAGACAUAGAACCAACCUGAGUGUCUGUCAGUAGACAACUGGAUUAGGAAGAUGUGGCAUAUAUAUGAAUAUUACUCAGCCAUAAAAAGAAGGAAAUACCAUUUGUUUCAAUGUGGAUGGAUCUAGAUAAUAUUAUGUUUAGUGAAAUAAGUUAGAGAAAGACAAAUGCUGUAUGAUAUUACUUACAUGUGUAUUCUAAAAAAAUAAUACAAAUGAAUCUAUAUACAAAACAGAUUCAUAGAUGUAGAAAACAAAUUUUGUUAUCAAAGGGGAAUGGGAAGUGAGGAAGGACAAUUUAGGAGUAUGAAGUUAACAGAUGCUAACUAUAUAAAAUUGGUAAACAACAAGAAUUCACUGUAUAGCAUAGGGAAUUAUAUCCAAUAUCUUGUAAUAAUCUAUAAUGGAAUAUAAGCUGCAAAAAAAUCCCCAAAACAAAUCAAUAUGCUGUAUGUCUGAAACUAACACAUUGUAAAUCAACUGUGCUUCAAUUAAAAAAAAAAAACAACCCACCCUGUUUCUACUCACUUUGAAUGAAACACAUGCUUCUUACCAAAAUUUAGCAACUUACUUCUUCAUGAAAUGGUUCCCUACUUCUUGUAUUUUAUUAGAGUCCAGAAUUCUGAAAGAAAUUGAGUUGGAAAAAUUUUGCCAGCUUUGUCAUUGAUUUUGAGGUGUCAGUGUUUUAAAGUUUCUCUUCCUGCCAUUUUCCUCCCUUAACACAUGAAUGGAACAAAUAUUAUUUAUUACCUAUAUACUAAUAAAUAUGCCACAGAAGUAUGUUUUUGUAUUCUUAAUAAAUGCAUGGUAACUUUCUUAUAAUAUAAUUUAUCCCAUUAUACUACUUAAAGACAUUUUAAAUUUCCCCAUUGAAUUAUAAAUUCCCAUUCUCUGAGCAAUAGAAAAUGUUUCCCUUUUUUGGCUUAUUUUCACUGAAUUCAUUUCCAAUGGAGGAAUUCUGACUAAGAGAGAGUAAAUUUUAAAUACAAUUUUCAAAUACUGGUCUGAUAGCAUUUAAUACCUGAAUAGCAGAAGUUAUUUCUAGUUAAACCAUGUUUGCAAGGGAGAUUAAUUGAAGGUUUGUAUCUUAUUAUAGUAGAGUUUUCUUUCUUUCUUUUAUCUUAAUUGAUUGGUAAUUCUGAUUGACACUAAAAGUCUAUGAAUGUUCUAUGUUCUCUGUCUUUUCACAUAUUACAAAACUGGAUUCUCAAGACAUAAUUAUUUAUGCUUAUUAUUUGUAGGUUUUAAUAUAUGCAUAUAUUUCACUCCCUAUUUAUUUUCAAUAAUAAAUUUAAAAAUUAAAUAAACAUUUAAAUAGUUGAGGUGGUCAAAUAUGCUUUUUCCUUUGAAAUUUAUUUUAUCAUUUUUUAGUGAUAAAGUUCUCCUGCU